CUCACCAUGGGAUGGAGCUGGAUCAUCCUCUUCCUCCUGUCAGUAAUUACAGGUGUCCACUGCCAGGUCCAGCUGCAGCAGUCUGGGCCUGAGCUGGUGUGGCCUGGGUCCUCAGUGAAGUUGUCUUGCAAGGCUUCUGGCUACACCUUUACUACCUAUGGUGUGCACUGGGUGAAGCAGAGGCCUGGACAGGAUCUGGAGUGCAUUGGAUGGAAUGUUCCUGGGAGUGAUGAUACUAAGUACAACCAGAAGUUCCAGGGCAAGGCCAAACUAACUGCAGACACAUCCUCCAGCACAGCCUACAUGGAUCUCAGCAGCCUGACAUCUGAGGACUCUGCUGUCUAUUAUUGUGCAAGAGACAUACGGGAGUGCAAUGGACUAACCAGUCCUGGGGGUGCAAAGGCUGUGUGGAUAUUAGGUAUCUGGGGGGAGGCGCCAUACUCCAAAGCGGCCAAUGCUUGA